UGUUAUAUAAUAUCUUAGCCUGAGAAAAAGGGAAGAUAGGGAUAGCAGCAACAAUGGCAUCUUUCGUCAACAAUCCCUUAACUUCUCUCUGUAACACUAAGUCUGAAACUAGUAAUCUCUUCAAAAUUUUCCCUUUAAGAACUCAAUCACUUGGUUUUUCCAAGUUUAACGCUAACAGAAAAGUUGCUUUCCCUUCUGUUGUUUGCAAAGCUGUGUCUGUUCAAACGAAAUCACCUACAGAAAUUGAAGGUCUUAACAUCGCUGAAGAUGUUACACAGCUUAUUGGGAACACACCAAUGGUUUACCUUAACACCAUCGCUAAGGGAUGUGUUGCAAACAUUGCUGCUAAACUUGAGAUUAUGGAGCCAUGUUGCAGUGUUAAGGACAGGAUAGGGCUCAGUAUGAUAUCUGAUGCCGAGGAGAAGGGACUCAUAUCUCCGGGGAAGACUGUUCUAGUUGAGCCUACGAGUGGAAACACAGGCAUUGGGCUUGCCUUCAUUGCUGCUUCCAGAGGAUAUAAGCUCAUCUUAACGAUGCCUGCAUCAAUGAGUCUUGAAAGAAGGGUUAUUCUAAAAGCUUUUGGAGCUGAACUUGUUUUAACUGACCCAGCCAAAGGGAUGAAAGGUGCUGUUUCAAAAGCUGAAGAAAUAUUGAGUAACACACCAAAUGCCUAUAUCCUUCAACAAUUUGACAAUCCCGCCAACCCCAAGAUACACUAUGAAACAACGGGUCCAGAGAUCUGGGAAGACACAAAAGGCAAGAUCGACAUACUUGUUGCUGGCAUUGGAACUGGCGGAACCAUUUCAGGAACAGGCCGAUUCCUUAAAGAGCAAAAUCCAAACAUUAAGAUUAUUGGUGUGGAGCCCACAGAAAGUAACGUUCUAUCAGGGGGCAAGCCUGGCCCUCACAAAAUUCAAGGGAUUGGAGCAGGUUUUAUUCCCGGAAAUUUGGAUCAAGAUGUCAUGGAUGAAGUGAUAGAGAUAUCGAGUGACGAAGCUGUUGAAACUGCAAAGCAAUUAGCGCUACAAGAAGGGUUGUUGGUUGGGAUUUCUUCCGGAGCAGCUGCUCUUGCUGCCAUUCAGGUUGGAAAGAGACCUGAGAAUGCAGGAAAGCUUAUUGGGGUUGUAUUUCCAAGCUUUGGAGAACGAUACCUCUCCUCUAUACUUUUCCAGUCAAUACGAGAGGAAUGCGAGAAAAUGAAGCCAGAAUUGUGAAGAUGAUCUUCCUUUUUCGAGCUAUCUUCUAAUUCCUAAUAAUGCUAUCUGGCUUUUCUAGCUGCCACACUUUUGUUUGGCAUAUUUAGUUGGCUACUGGUGUAUACAAUAGAUCAGAUGAAAAUGUACUUUGCUACCUGGAACUUGGAAGUUGGAAUCCUCUUAGUAUGACCAUGUUCUUUAGAACCUGCAAUGACACAAGUGCAACAUUGCAAGUUGUUGACAAAAGUUGUUCAUUGUUGAGACAGUGUAAUUAUAUAUACAAGUAUGACAUGAUUCACAGCAACAACUCUAUAGUACUCCUUCCGUUUUAGUUUGUUUAUCUGGUUUUGAUUUGACAUGGAGGUUAAGAAAGUAAAGAAGAUUUUUGAAUCUUGUGGUUUUAAACUAAAGAUAGGUAGAAUGUACCGAUAUAUUCUUUAAUCUUGUGAUUUCAAAUUAAACA